GUGAGUUAAGAAUGACCAUUUCUUCUAGGGAGUGAAAGGGACAUGGGAGGGAGAGAAAAACAAAGGGAGAUACGGGGAAGAAAAGAUAGAAUAGGCAUUUCUAAUUUGCUAUUUCUUAACUUGGAAGACAAAAAGGCAGAACAGGAAGAAUUGGGAAUAUGACCAGACUGGACAGUCAGGAUGCGUGGUGCGCCCAGGGUGAGGACAGAGCUGGGGGAAGUCCAGCAAAGCCCCCAUGUCUGCAGACCACAACUUCUCUGAUGCAGGACGAAGACAAACGGCAACAACGCAAACCUGGGCACCACAGACUUUACAGAUGUACACCGCACAGGUCAGCCUCGGCCACACACGUUCAUCAGAUGUGGCCUCAAAAUCAGCUCCCAGCCUACUGCUCUGUGAGCACCAGCGCCCGUGCAGGGGUAGCCAAGAGCCACACUGUCACCUCUCGGAGGAGCCCUCUGCCUCGAGGACUUCUGUGAGCCAUGCCAGUGGGCUCUGGCUCAGCGUUCAUGAUUUUGUCCCUUUUGAAGUCCUCGAGAUUUUAUUCCUUCAGUUUCCGGGAGUUACGUGCCACGGCGAUUUCAGCCCAGUAGCACUUUGGCUGUGACAAAAAGAAGUGACGGGGAGGGCCUGCUGCAUGGGCCGUGUCCGACGCUGCCACCCAGCUCGACUGUUCACACUCGCCGUCAGAGAAUGCGGGGUACAGAUUCUGUCUCCAGGACCCCAGCCCUGUGGCUUUCCUGUCUAAUAAACUGAGAACUCUGACCCGUGUGCUCUUCGCA
rnacentral:lncRNA from 1 species